AACGAACGCUGGCGGCAGGCCUAACACAUGCAAGUCGAGCGCGCCCUUCGGGGUGAGCGGCGGACGGGUGAGUAACGCGUGGGAACGUGCCCUUUUCUACAGAAUAGCCUCGGGAAACUGAGAGUAAUACCGUAUACGCCCUUUGGGGGAAAGAUUUAUCGGAAAAGGAUCGGCCCGCGUUGGAUUAGGUAGUUGGUGGGGUAAUGGCCUACCAAGCCGACGAUCCAUAGCUGGUUUGAGAGGAUGAUCAGCCACACUGGGACUGAGACACGGCCCAGACUCCUACGGGAGGCAGCAGUGGGGAAUCUUAGACAAUGGGGGCAACCCUGAUCUAGCCAUGCCGCGUGAGUGAUGAAGGCCUUAGGGUUGUAAAGCUCUUUCAGCUGGGAAGAUAAUGACGGUACCAGCAGAAGAAGCCCCGGCUAACUCCGUG
rnacentral:rRNA from 1 species